UACGGAGGGAGCUAGCGUUGUUCGGAACUACUGGGCGUAAAGGGCGCGUAGGCGGCCCUCUAAGUCAUGCGUGAAAUCCCCGGGCUCAACCCGGGAACUGCAUCCGAUACUGGAUGGCUUGAAUCCGGGAGAGGGAUGCAGAAUUCCAGGUGUAGCGGUGAAAUGCGUAGAUAUCUGGAGGAAUACCGGUGGCGAAGGCGGCAUCCUGGACCGGCAUUGACGCUGAGGAGCGAAAGCUAGGGGAGCAAACGGG
rnacentral:rRNA from 1 species